GCCCAGGUGGUGAAAUUGGUAUACACGCUACCUUGAGGUGGUAGUGGCCGUUCGGUCGUGCUGGUUCAAGUCCAGUCCUGGGCA
rnacentral:tRNA from 1 species